CAGCAGCCGCGGUAAUACGUAGGUGGCAAGCGUUGUCCGGAAUUAUUGGGCGUAAAGGGCUCGCAGGCGGUUUCUUAAGUCUGAUGUGAAAGCCCCCGGCUCAACCGGGGAGGGUCAUUGGAAACUGGGAAACUUGAGUGCAGAAGAGGAGAGUGGAAUUCCACGUGUAGCGAUGAAAUGCGUAGAGAUGUGGAGGAACUCCAGUGGCGAAGGCGACUCUCUGGUCUGUAACUGACGCUCAUGCACGAAAGCGUGGGGAGCAAACAGGAUUAGAUACCCCCGUAGUCCCUGUCUCUUAUAC
rnacentral:rRNA from 1 species